UCACAAUACAAGCACCUGAUCUGAGUGUGGAGUUUGUACACAGCAUUACCUUUCUUUUCUCUCCUUCCUCCUUGUUGCAGCACGCCCGAAAUUGUCCAGUUUCCACAGGGAGAAAAGUUUAAUCUGACAGGGGUAGUGGUGGUGGAAGGAGUAGCUGGAGGCCUUAUUCUGACACAAAGUCUGAAUGAAGCACUUCCUCUAACUCAGCUUCGGCAGUAAGAAAGUUUUGUUUUGUGUUCAUUCUUUGGAUCUUCCUGUGGAUUAUUCUUUUCAGCAGUUACUGCAUUCAUCGUUCUCUGUCACAUGGUGCACCAUGGAGAUUCUGCUAGACAGCACACUCAAGAGGGAAAUGUUAAAAAGGAGAACCAGCCAAACAGUGUCCUCUCCAUUUGUAGCCUCGCAAAGAAAACUCACAGGAAAGGGAGGAGAGCUUCCUGUGAACACCUCCACAGGUGUUCACCUCUGCAUACCUUACUGCUGGCUUAUAAAAUGGGGCCUAACGAAAAGAAGGACAGAUGGAAGGAAACUGCUUGUGGAACCAAAAAGUCUUGCAACAAACCUGCCCUCAGGCAGGAGGCUACUAAGCCAGGUCCAGGCCUCAGCCCCUUUCAUGCCACAGACCCAAAGGGCUGUGACCGCUCCCCUCCCCUAAUUAAAGCAUUGGCCACCUAUUCACUCCUCCAGGAUCCCUCUUUCUUAAACUAACUAAAGAAAAAUAUUCCUAUCUCCUCCCAUCUCCCCUUGAUGUCAUCCCCAAAGAUAAGCCCAUUGACCAUUUUAAGAGUUUCAGAGCCAGUUAUAAUAGAGACGCUGAAAGGAGAAAGCAAGCCUACGUGGAUUAUGCACACGUGCUCAAUUCUUUUGAUUUUACAGAGCUCUCAUCCUCAUGCAAGGCACUGAAAUUCAUUGAGCUUAAUGUCCUUAUCUACAAACUGGCGUAAUACCUCCAGCACAGGUAGGAGCAACAGCCAUGGAGAAGCACUGCCCAGAGACCUGUUCUAGGAAGGAUCUGAUUCCCAGGUGAAGAGGAGGAUCAGCAGACAGCCUCCAGUUGUCAGAGCCAACAGGGUCUGCUCAGGUGCAGAGAACCGCCUGUCUGAGAUCAUAGGUUUCCCAGGUAGGAUGACCAGCUCCUUGGGUGUGCCUGGAACUUUCUUGGCACUAAAAGUCUCGCAUCCCAGGAUGGGUCUGUGGGCUGGAGUCUGACUCAAUGGGUGCAUCCUUAAAAGCAGAGCCAUUUGCCCUCAGCAUCUGACAAGGCCAAACCUUUGUGAAGAUUGGGGUCCAUUGUCUGGAACAAUGAGCCACAGUGAUUCGGCUCUUCCUCCCCUCCCCCGCACCAGCUGAGCUGAGCACAGCUGCCCACAGAGCCCACUGGGAUCUACUGACAAGAAAAUUAAUGUGAUCUAUUCCUCCCACAAACUCCCAUAACACUCCAUAACUUUCUAAUGAUGCCCUCCACAUUCCAGCCUUUGUGGUAGCUAUUGCUGAACUUGUCUUGCUCUCUCUCCUGGACUGUGAGCCUCGGACCCUACACUAGUGACUGGAAUGUUUGUGUGUGAAGAAAUGAGCGAAAGGAUGGCGCAUUGCAACCUGUGCUUCCCUCUCUUGCAUUCCCAUUCACAUUAAAAGACCUUCCAACUGUGAGGGGUUAAGAAUACAUGAAGACUCAUGACACCAAAAACCUAGGUUCCUCUCCCACCUCCGCCUGAAAUCCUAAGACCCUUUCGCUUCACUCUCAGGUUUGUUUGUAGCGUGAAUAAAUCUGUUACUUUAUAGAUGCAAAUCACCUUAGGAAUUAUUUAUGUGACAGGUUAAACCUAGAAAUACUCUGUGUCGCUGUUUAAACAUAGUCUAAUCCAGUCUUUGAAAGUGGCCACAAUGUGUCAAAAUUGCUAUUCUAAUAUGUAUGGAGG
rnacentral:lncRNA from 1 species